GAUGAACGCUGGCGGCGUGCCUAACACAUGCAAGUCGAGCGAACAGACCAGGAGCUUGCUCCGUUCACGUUAGCGGCGGACGGGAGAGUAACACGUGGAUAACCUACCUGUAAGAGUGGUAUAACCUCGGGAAUCCGGAUCUAAUCCCGUAGAAUAUACUGAACCGCAUGGUUGAAUAGAGAAAGACGGCUUUGCUGGCAGUUAUAGCUGGAUCCGCGCCGCCUGAGCUAGUUGGUAGGGUAACGGCUUAUCAGGGCAACGAUGCGUAGACGACCUGACAGGCUGAUCGCCCACACUAGAGGUGAGACCCGGUCCAGAGUCCUGCGGGAGGCACCAGUCGGGAAUCUUCCGCAAUGGGCGCCAGCCUGGCCGACCGACCCCGCGCCAGUGGUGGACGCCCUGGGUGCGUAAAGCUCUGUUCUGAGGUCAAAACAGCUUUCUCAGUCACCAUGCACGUCUUGACGGUACCUAGUAAAGAAGCACCGGCUAACUACGUG
rnacentral:rRNA from 1 species